rnacentral:lncRNA from 10 species
CCAGUUUCAGGUAUGUCUUUAUCAGCAGUGUGAAAAUGGACUAUUAUACCAAGUAAAGAGGAGGUUUCAAGACAGGAAGAAUCAAGAUUAAAUCAUAUGCAGAACAGUCUUAACCUAAGAAUUAAGAAGCUUUGUGAUUUGGUAACAAGAAGAUCAUCAGUGACCUUAAGAUCUGAAAGAGAGAGUAACAGUGCAAUUUGACAUAAACAGCUCCUUGCCUAUCUGGCUGCCCCAGCCAAGCUGGGUCCUACACAAGUUGCUAUAAGAGCUUUCUACAACAAGAUCUGAACUACUGAAAGAUUCAGAUCACUUGACUUUUUAGCUGCUCUGUCUACCAAAAGU